rnacentral:rRNA from 1 species
UACGAAGGGGGCUAGCGUUGUUCGGAAUUACUGGGCGUAAAGCGCGCGCAGGCGGCUAUCCAAGUCAGUGGUGAAAGCCCGGAGCUCAACUCCGGAACUGCCAUUGAAACUGUUUAGCUUGAGGACGAGAGAGGUGAGUGGAAUUCCUGGUGUAGCGGUGAAAUGCGCAGAUAUCAGGAGGAACACCGGUGGCGAAGGCGGCUUUCUGGGCCUUACCUGACGUUGAGGCGCGACAGCGUGGGGAGCAAACAGG